CGUAGAUCCUGCUGUUGUUAAAGCAUCCUGCAAGACAUAUUUUGAAACUGUUCGAAGGGGUUACAGGAUGGCCCAAGAUGAGAACAAAGAGAAGAUGGAGGACAGCAGGAUCAUUGCUCGCACGAGACAAAGAAAAAGAAGACUGCUGAGCAGCAGGACUGGUGUUCUCCAGACAGAGGAAGAGGCAG